GUUAUUAAUAUGGAUUAUGGAAUGAAAAAUAAGAACCCCAUCAGUAAUGUUCAUUUUUACUGCAAGGAUGACAUCACUCAGGCAAUUAAAAUUACAAGAGAUCAAGUUUCACAGCUGCUCCCAGAAAAAUUUGCAGAGCAGAUCAUCAGAGUUUAUUGU